GAUUGAACGCUGGCGGCAGGCCUAACACAUGCAAGUCGAACGGUAACAGGAAGAAGCUUGCUUCUUUGCUGACGAGUGGCGGACGGGUGAGUAAUGUCUGGGAAACUGCCUGAUGGAGGGGGAUAACUACUGGAAACGGUAGCUAAUACCGCAUAACGUCGCAAGACCAAAGAGGGGGACCUUCGGGCCUCUUGCCAUCGGAUGUGCCCAGAUGGGAUUAGCUAGUGGGUGGGGUAACGGCUCACCUAGGCGACGAUCUCUAGCUGGUCUGAGAGGAUGACCAGCCACACUGGAACUGAGACACGGUCCAGACUCCU
rnacentral:rRNA from 1 species